GACAGAGGGUGCAAACGUUGUUCGGAAUUACUGGGCGUAAAGCGUGUGUAGGCGGUCUUACAAGUCCGGUGUGAAAGCCCCGGGCUCAACCCGGGAAGUGCACUUGAUACUGUUUGACUUGAGUACUGGAGAGGUUGGUGGAAUUCUCGGUGUAGAGGUGAAAUUCGUAGAUAUCGAGAGGAACACCUGUGGCGAAGGCGGCCAACUGGACAGAUACUGACGCUGAGACACGAAAGCGUGGGGAGCAAACAGG
rnacentral:rRNA from 1 species